rnacentral:rRNA from 1 species
UACAGAGGUCUCAAGCGUUGUUCGGAUUCAUUGGGCGUAAAGGGUGCGUAGGCGGCGCGGUAAGUCGGGUGUGAAAUCUUGGAGCUUAACUCCGAAACUGCAUUCGAUACUGCCGUGCUUGAGGACUGGAGAGGAGACUGGAAUUUACGGUGUAGCGGUGAAAUGCGUAGAUAUCGUAAGGAAGACCAGUGGCGAAGGCGGGUCUCUGGACAGUUCCUGACGCUGAGACACGAAGGCCAGGGGGAGCAAACGGG